rnacentral:tRNA from 1 species
GCCUGGGUGGCUCAGUUGGUUGAGUGUCCGACUUCGGCUCAGGUCAUGAUCUCACGGUUCGUGGGUUCGAGCCCCGCGUCGGGCU